GGGCGUCCCUUCUGGGACGCCACCGGCGGACGGCUCAGUAACACGUCGGUAACCUACCCUCGGGAGGGGGAUAACCCCGGGAAACUGGGGCUAAUCCCCCAUAGGCCUGGGGUACUGGAAGGUCCCCAGGCCGAAAGGGGACCGUAAGGUCCCGCCCGAGGAUGGGCCGGCGGCCGAUUAGGUAGUUGGUGGGGUAACGGCCCACCAAGCCGAAGAUCGGUACGGGCCGUGAGAGCGGGAGCCCGGAGAUGGACACUGAGACACGGGUCCAGGCCCUACGGGGCGCAGCAGGCGCGAAACCUCCGCAAUGCGGGAAACCGCGACGGGGGGACCCCCAGUGCCGUGCCUCUGGCACGGCUUUUCCGGAGUGUAAAAAGCUCCGGGAAUAAGGGCUGGGCAAGGCCGGUGGCAGCCGCCGCGGUAAUACCGGCGGCCCGAGUGGUGGCCACUAUUAUUGGGCCUAAAGCGGCCGUAGCCGGGCCCGUAAGUCCCUGGCGAAAUCCCACGGCUCAACCGUGGGGCUCGCUGGGGAUACUGCGGGCCUUGGGACCGGGAGAGGCCGGGGGUACCCCCGGGGUAGGGGUGAAAUCCUAUAAUCCCGGGGGGACCGCCAGUGGCGAAGGCGCCCGGCUGGAACGGGUCCGACGGUGAGGGCCGAAGGCCAGGGGAGCGAACCGGAUUAGAUACCCGGGUAGUCCUGGCUGUAAAGGAUGCGGGCUAGGUGUCGGGCGAGCUUCGAGCUCGCCCGGUGCCGUAGGGAAGCCGUUAAGCCCGCCGCCUGGGGAGUACGGCCGCAAGGCUGAAACUUAAAGGAAUUGGCGGGGGAGCACUACAAGGGGUGGAGCGUGCGGUUUAAUUGGAUUCAACGCCGGGAACCUCACCGGGGGCGACGGCAGGAUGAAGGCCAGGCUGAAGGUCUUGCCGGACGCGCCGAGAGGAGGUGCAUGGCCGCCGUCAGCUCGUACCGUGAGGCGUCCACUUAAGUGUGGUAACGAGCGAGACCCGCGCCCCCAGUUGCCAGUCCCUCCCGCUGGGAGGGAGGCACUCUGGGGGGACUGCCGGCGAUAAGCCGGAGGAAGGGGCGGGCGACGGUAGGUCAGUAUGCCCCGAAACCCCCGGGCUACACGCGCGCUACAAUGGGCGGGACAAUGGGACCCGACCCCGAAAGGGGAAGGGAAUCCCCUAAACCCGCCCUCAGUUCGGAUCGCGGGCUGCAACUCGCCCGCGUGAAGCUGGAAUCCCUAGUACCCGCGCGUCAUCAUCGCGCGGCGAAUACGUCCCUGCUCCUUGCACACACCGCCCGUCACUCCACCCGAGCGGGGCCCGGGUGAGGCCCGAUCUCCUUCGGGAGGUCGGGUCGAGCCUGGGCUCCGUGAGGGGGGAGAAGUCGUAACAAGGUAGCAAUAGGG
rnacentral:rRNA from 1 species